rnacentral:rRNA from 1 species
UACGAAGGGGACUAGCGUUGUUCGGAUUUACUGGGCGUAAAGCGCGCGUAGGCGGAUCGCUAAGUCAGGGGUGAAAUCCCAGAGCUCAACCCUGGAACUGCCUUUGAUACUGACGAUCUGGAGAUCGGGAGAGGUUGGUGGAAUUCCGAGUGUAGAGGUGAAAUUCGUAGAUAUUCGGAGGAACACCAGAAGCGAAGGCGGCCAACUGGCCCGAUACUGACGCUGAGGCGCGAAAGCGUGGGGAGCAAACAGG